ACACAAUUAAGCUUUUGUUUGAGUGUUUAAGGCAAACACUCAAACCAUUUUGGGAUCAAUUUCACGUAAUUAUAUAUAAGAUGGGAGCUGAAAACGAGGACAAACAUAAGACUUCUGAGAAAGGACUGUUUUCAUCAUUCGGUUCUGGAUUUGGUGCCGGACAUGGAGGACAGUAUGUUAAACCAUGCCCUCCACAAAGAUAUGGAUACCCCCCACAGCCACAACAAACACAGUAUUCAUCAUAUUCAUACUCCUCUUCAGGCGGGAACUCUCCAACUGGAUAUCCUACCUCUGGAGGGUGUCAGCAGGCCUCCUACGCUGGUGGAUAUCCGCCAGCCGGUGGUUAUUCAUCAGGUUUAACAACUUCAUAUCAUUCUGCAGCUACAGCGCAUGAAUCAUCUACCAUGGGAAUGGGAGGGAUGUUAGCUG